rnacentral:SRP_RNA from 1 species
GCCGAGAACAGUGGUGUGCGCCUGUAGUCCCAACUACUCUGGAGGCUGAGGCUGGAGGAUUGCUUGAGCCCAGGAGUUCUGGGCUGUAGUGCGCUAUGCCGAUUGGGUGUCCGCACUAAGUUCGGCAUCAAUAUGGUGACCUCCCGGGAGCGGGGGCCUACCAGGUUGCCUAAGGAGGGGUGAACCAGCCCAGGUCAGAAACGGAGCAGGUCAAAACUCCCGUGCUGAUCAGUAGUGGGAUCGAGCCUGUGAAUAGCCACUGCACUCCAGCCUGGGCAACAUAGCGAAACCCUGUCUCU